rnacentral:rRNA from 1 species
AUGAACGCUGGCGGCAGGCUAACCAUGCAAUUUCGAGCGGUAGCACAGAGAGCUUGCUCUCGGGUGACGAGCGGCGGACGGGUGAGUAAUGUCUGGGAAACUGCCUGAUGGAGGGGGAUAACUACUGGAAACGGUAGCUAAUACCGCAUAACGUCGCAAGACCAAAGUGGGGGACCUUCGGGCCUCAUGCCAUCAGAUGUGCCCAGAUGGGAUUAGCUAGUANGUGGGGUAAUGGCUCACCUAGGCGACGAUCCCUAGCUGGUCCGAGAGGAUGACCAGCCACACUGGAACUGAGACACGGUCCAGACUCCUACGGGAGGCAGCAGUGGGGAAUAUUGCACAAUGGGCGCAAGCCUGAUGCAGCCAUGCCGCGUGUAUGAAGAAGGCCUUCGGGUUGUAAAGUACUUUCAGCGAGGAGGAAGGCAUUAGGGUUAAUAACCUUGGUGAUUGACGUUACUCGCAGAAGAAGCACCGGCUAACUCCGUGCCGGCCAGCCGCGGUAAUACGGAGGGUGCAAGCGUUACUCGGAAUUACUGGGCGUAAAGCAGCACGCAGGCGGAUCUUGUAANAUCAGAUGUGAAAUCCCCGGGCUCAACCCUNGACAUGANAUUUGAAACUGGCAAGCUUUGACCCAGCUAUGAACUAAAAGUGCUACGCGCUUUACCGAAGGUUAAGCUACUACUUCUUUUNNAACCCACUC